rnacentral:rRNA from 1 species
CUACGUGCCAGCAGCCGCGGUAAUACGUAUGUCACAAGCGUUAUCCGGAUUUAUUGGGCGUAAAGCGCGUCUAGGUGGUUAUGUAAGUCUGAUGUGAAAAUGCAGGGCUCAACUCUGUAUUGCGUUGGAAACUGCAUGACUAGAGUACUGGAGAGGUAAGCGGAACUACAAGUGUAGAGGUGAAAUUCGUAGAUAUUUGUAGGAAUGCCGAUGGGGAAGCCAGCUUACUGGACAGAUACUGACGCUAAAGCGCGAAAGCCAGGGGAGCGAACGGGAUUAGAUACCCCGGUAGUCCUGGCCGUAAACGAUGGGUACUAGGUGUAGGAGGUAUCGACCCCUUCUGUGCCGGAGUUAACGCAAUAAGUACCCCGCCUGGGGAGUACGACCGCAAGGUUGAAACUCAAAGGAAUUGACGGGGGCCCGCACAAGCGGUGGAGUAUGUGGUUUAAUUCGACGCAACGCGAAGAACCUUACCAGGUCUUGACAU